rnacentral:rRNA from 1 species
UACGUAGGGUGCGAGCGUUGUCCGGAUUUAUUGGGCGUAAAGGGCUCGUAGGCGGCUUGUCGCGUCGGGAGUGAAAGCCCGCUGCUUAACGGCGGGUUUGCUUUCGGUACGGGCUGGCUGGAGUGCGGCAGGGGAGACUGGAAUUCCUGGUGUAGCGGUGAAAUGCGCAGAUAUCAGGAGGAACACCGGCGGCGAAGGCGGGUCUCUGGGCCGAUACUGACGCUAAGGCGCGAAAGCGUGGGGAGCGAACAGG